rnacentral:rRNA from 1 species
UCCUACGGGGGGCAGCAGUGGGGAAUAUUGGGCAAUGGGCGCAAGCCUGACCCAGCAACGCCGCGUGAAGGAAGAAGGCUUUCUGGUUGUAAACUUCUUUUCUCAGGGACGAAGCAAGUGACGGUACCUGAGGAAUAAGCCACGGCUAACUACGUGCCAGCAGCCGCGGUAAUACGUAGGUGGCAAGCGUUAUCCGGAUUUACUGGGUGUAAAGGGCGUGUAGGCGGGGACGGAAGUCAGAUGUGAAAACCACGGGCUCAACCUGUGGCCUGCAUUUGAAACUGGGUUUCUUGAGUACUGGAGAG